UGGCGAUCGUGCCAGAGGUGGUAUC
rnacentral:miRNA from 1 species